AAGCAUGUGUCCAAGGACUGUGGCUGGUGUGGUCUUGAGAUCUCCAACUGUGGGGGAGAGCAACCUGGAAAGACUUUCAGCCCAGGAUCUGUGGCUGCCACUCACCUUUUCUACAAAG
ensembl:snoRNA